GACAAACGCUGGCGGCGUGCCUAAUACAUGCAAGUUGAGCGAUGAAGAUUGGUGCUUGCACCAAUUUGAAGAGCAGCGAACGGGUGAGUAACGCGUGGGGAAUCUGCCUUUGAGCGGGGGACAACAUUUGGAAACGAAUGCUAAUACCGCAUAACAACUUUAAACAUAAGUUUUAAGUUUGAAAGAUGCAAUUGCAUCACUCAAAGAUGAUCCCGCGUUGUAUUAGCUAGUUGGUGAGGUAAAGGCUCACCAAGGCGAUGAUACAUAGCCGACCUGAGAGGGUGAUCGGCCACAUUGGGACUGAGACACGGCCCAAACUCCUACGGGAGGCAGCAGUAGGGAAUCUUCGGCAAUGGACGAAAGUCUGACCGAGCAACGCCGCGUGAGUGAAGAAGGUUUUCGGAUCGUAAAACUCUGUUGGUAGAGAAGAACGUCGGUGAGAGUGGAAAGCUCAUCAAGUGACGGUAACUACCCAGAAAGGGACGGCUAACUACGUG
rnacentral:rRNA from 1 species